CGAGACUCCAAAGACCUGGAGAUCAAAGUAAGAAAUAAAUCAUUAAAAGUUUAGAAAGAAGGAACUUCGUUGCGGCAUGUGUGAAUUCAGAACAGCAAAAUUGCUGGAAAUAUAUACCAGCUAAUAUCCUGUGAUGUUGCACGUAAUGCCUUUAACAAAGUGAAGGGGCCCAUAACAAAGAGCUGAUGAGAGGGUUUGACAAGGAGGAGGACAUAGGAGAGAGACAUGGAGCAAAAGCUCCUUGUUCUACGUUUUUAAACUACUGGCAACUGUUUCCUUUGACAUACACUUGUGAAAGAAUGGGACAAG